UCCCUCCUCAGAUGCUACCUUCGGACAGGUACAUUUCUGAAUGGUAGUCUAGUAUACGACUACUCCCUUACUCAGAUGCUACCUUCGGACAGGUACAUUUCUGAAUGGUAGUCUAGUAUACGGCUACUCCCUUACUCAGAUGCUAUCUUCGGACAGGUACAUUUCUGAAUGGUAGUCUAGUAUACGACUACUCCCUUACUCAGAUGCUACCUUCGAACAGGUACAUUUCUGAAUGGUAGUCUAGUAUACGACUACUCCCUUACUCAGAUGCUACCUUCGAACAGGUACAUUUCUGAAUGGUAGUCUAGUAUACGACUACUCCCUUACUCAGAUGCUACCUUCGGACAGGUACAUUUCUGAAUGGUAGUCUAGUAUACGGCUACUCCCUUACUCAGAUGCUAUCUUCGGACAGGUACAUUUCUGAAUGGUAGUCUAGUAUACGGCUACUCCCUUACUCAGAUGCUACCUUCGGACAGGUACAUUUCUGAAUGGUAGUCUAGUAUACGGCUACUCCCUUACUCAGAUGCUACCUUCGGACAGGUACAUUUCUGAAUGGUAGUCUAGUAUACGGCUACUCCCUUACUCAGAUGCUACC